GACGGGGGAUGGCAAGUGUUAUCCGGAAUCACUGGGCGUAAAGCGUCUGCAGGUGGUUUCCUAAGUCCACUGUUAAACCUUGAGGCUCAACCUCAAAUCUGCAUUGGAAACUAGGAGACUUGAGUAUAGUAGGGGUAGAGGGAAUUUCCAGUGGAGCGGUGAAAUGCGUAGAUAUUGGAAAGACCACCGAUGGCGAAGGCACUCUACUGGGCCAUUACUGACACUGAGAGACGAAAGCUAGGGGAGCAAAGUGGG
rnacentral:rRNA from 1 species